CGGAAAUAGGUAGACCUGACAGGACCACGGAUUAAUUGCUGCUUCAGCAUCAGAUGAGUUACAAGUUCCUUAAAGAAUUUUUCACACUGUCAUCAGCUCUCCUGGAUGCAUUCCACUCUAUGAGGCCAAGGGCAAAGAAAAAAGAUGCAGUGUUGAGGAUCCUGUCCCUUCCAGUCAUCUGUGGAUGUGCCCACGCUAGACUGUGCUGAACGAUAACCCGUAGAUUAUCUGCUAUCAAAACAGAUGAGGUUCUUGUAUCCAAUUUUGGGACGAUUAGGAUUUAGAAAUCAGAAACCAUCAUGUUUGGCAACUGGUAGCUUUUGUAUCUGGUGGUCUCUGUUAUGGUAUUUCCUGAUGCUGUUGAGGAAUCUGCUUAAUUGGCUGACUAUCCAGAAUCUGGGAAGGCAUUCCUCUUUACAGAUGGAAACAGAAUUUUAAAAUGCUGAGUCCAGUUUUCUCCUUGCAAGCUCCUAAAUUGUCUAUUGAUACUCCCUUUCUCUCUCAAGAUAAUUUGACUCAACUUUGUGGCCCACAACUCUGGGGUUCCUGGGUGAAACUUGAAACUGAUAAUCUUGCACAGAGGACAAGGAGAGAGACUAAAAGAAGCAGACACUGCAGAUGGGUAGGGGAUGGUGGCCUCACCAGGCAGCGGAGCUCAGGUAUAAGACCUAUAGUGUGCCUACUGCAAGAGGAAUGGGUGUUAGCACCUGCUUGCCAGAAUCUUAGGAGUUUAUAUAAAGCCCUUCAAUGGGUUUAGUCCUAUGUUCAACCCAAAUGGUCUCAACAACCUCUUACUGUCUCAAGGCUGGGUCCUUGGGAAAACUGCUGGCAUGGGUCUAGUAGGUAGAAUAAACAUUUCAGGGACAUGGGAGAGGGUAAGGAGCCUCCCCAGUGCCUGGGGCCAGGUCACAGGCCAACUGGCUGUUACAUCCCAUCGAUGACCAGCUGCAACACAACUCUUCUUGAUACGUUAGAGAGCUUGAAUGUGUGCAGGGGUUAUCAGUUGAGUAAAUAUACUUGUAUGUAGCUUUUCCCCAGAGAUGACAUUUUCUAAUAUUCUGAUAAUUAUCAGCUGUAGCUCUCAGUGCCAGUGGAGAACUUUUUUACUAGAAAGGUAAAUGUUUAUACUUGGUUUAUAAUGUCUCAAUCAAAUCGUAUGGUAAAACUAAGAAAGACUGAUCUUAGGGAACAUUGUUAUUUUUUUCAGAAAUGUUAUUGUCCAGGCUUUAGAAUACUCCUUAAAAUUACUGCUAUAGGGGUUCUGGGUGACUCAGUUGGUUAAGCAUUUGACUUCAUCUCAGGCCAGAUCUCCUGGUUCGUGGGUUUGGCCCUGCAUUGGGGCUCUGCUGACCGUGUAGAACCUGCUUGGCAUUCUCUCUUUCCCUCUUUCUCUGCCCCCACCCCCACACACAUAAUUCGUAGCAAUAACUUUUAAAAAUAAGUUUAAUAUUGAGUACCUAUCCACGGCUUAAAUUACAAGUCAAUUGAGUGAUCUAAUAUAAUGAACAAUAUUAUAUAGUAUUUAUUUUUUUAGAAAUCACCAUUAAUAACAGCAUGAAAAUUAAUGAAAGUUAUAUGUAUAUUCCCCUAAUGUUGAGUACCUGCUGUAUCUGUACCGUGAUCUUGCACAACUAAUACAAAGCUAACAUUUCAAGAUGUAUUUCCAUUAAUUCUGUUCUCUCAAUCCCUCUGAAUGUAUCCUCUUGUAUUUUCUAUUCGAGGGAGUAGCACAGCACAGUUUUCCCUUUCUCUGAGAAAUCCUUCUUGGUUCCAUUCUUUCUCUUGUAACUGCCACAUCCAACCAAUCACUAUUUCUUACUGACUUCCUGCCUACAUGUUGUGAGAAUCCCUGGAAAAUAAGUCUGUGAAUAUCAACAUAAUGACUGAUCUUUUUAUGGUAGGUAUGGACUAGUCACUUAAUUUGAAGGAGUGUCGUAGUGUGGUUGUAAUGCAAUUGGGGAUGGCAGGGAUCGUGGCAAACCAUCUGGAUAGUAGCCACGUGGAAGUACAGGCUUCGUGUUUUCAGAUAUUCCAGUGUUUUGACAGAAGCUUGGAAUUGGAGUCUGUGUUCGCUACUGAUUUUUAAAUGUUAGCCUGUAAUUCAAAUAAAGAAUAUGCCAGGCCACUUGAGUUGUGUAAAUCUAGUUUACCCUGUGGGUUGCCAGUUUUAGAUCUGUGUAUAUAAAUCGUGUUGGGUACCAUGUGUCAUAUACAGUUAACUUUUCUCUGAAGUUACUAAAUAGCUUAUUUUUCAGAAACUGGCUUUCUAGAUUGAUGCUCUGAAAAUACUGAAGAGACCAAUAUGUAAUUGUGCCUUCAUUGAGGUAUCUUAAGAGAUUGAUCAUCUGAUUUCUUGGUUAUCUUUUGCCAGAAGGGACGGACUUCAAACUCUAUUACAUUAAGUAGCCUCUUCUCUAUUUGAGAGCUUUUUAUUAACUUAGGAGUUAAUGCAUUUUAUGACAUUAAAAAUCUCUUGAGAAUUUUGAGCUCCUGAAUAGUUUUAAGGCUCACCUGGGAUUCUAUUAAAAUUAUUGCUAAUACUGUGUUCAUGGCAUAACAUUUGACGGAAAUUGUUAAAUUUAGACACUAAGGUGUUUUUUUUUUUUUUUUUCCUUGUAUGGCUAGAAACCCUAAGACUGCUAAAGGUUAGGAAAAUCUUAGCUGAAAUUUCAGUGGUAUCUAUGGGAAUAUCGAGGAAUAGAAAGGCUAGUGACUGGCAGUUUCCAUGACGACAACGGAAUUUUCGGGGCUAGAGAGAUGUGUAGGUUACACCAUCAAAUGUGCCAGAGAUUGGUCUCCAUGACGACAGCAAUGUGAAUGGGGAAAUAUAUGCUCAUGAGAUUUUGUUUUAAAAGCAUAUUGGGCUAAUUUAGGAGAGAAUGCUUGCCAAAUCAAUAUUUUUUCAAAGAAAUACAGUCAAAAUAAGGGAUUCCAUUUCUUCCUGUAUUUUUGGAGAAAGUAACGUUUUUGAGUAUUUGUGUUAAGAGGGGUUAUUGACUUACAAAUAACUCCUUUGGCUGCAUUUCUGAAAAGCACCCAAAGAAUGCAGAUUUUUCAAAUUUACUUUUAAAUUUCAACGUUCAUUUCUGAGAGCAGUGCCUCCAAAUGUGAAAAUAACUAGAGUUAUUUAAACUUUUUGAUGUUUCUGAACCUAAAUCAACCACCAGAAUGCAUCAUGUAUUAAAGCUUUAUUCCUGUUGCAUCAAAAGACAGAGGAUUUAUUACCACAGUGAUAGAAUAGAAGAAUGCUCAAAACUAAGUUCCUCUCGUGCUUCAAUUUGUAACCACUUUGGGUGAAUUUUCCUUAUUGCUGCGUUCUGAAAUCUCUAAUGUGUAGAGUAGGGAGAUAUGGGCCAUGCCUUUUAGUGUGUUGUGUGCAUAAUUAAGGACCAACAUACAAAGGGUUAGUAAAGGAUCAAUUCAGCCAUAGAAAUAAAUGCUGGCCUUAUGCCUAAGGUUUAAAACACUUUGUGAACACAUUUUGUUUCAUGGGCAGAUGCUUAUGUAAUUUUUUGAGAUGUGCUUUGUAAGAUUGACUUGUGUUAGUGAAGAAAUGUGAAAUUAUAAAACUGGAAACUGGGUUUUGGAAAAGCAAAGAAGGGAUAGUAACCUUAGGGCUGGUACUGGCUGGGAGCAGUUAGACACAUGGGACAAGAGGAAGAAGGUAAUCCCAGAACCUGGGGAGAGUGGCUCUGGGGAGAGUCACCUGCCAGGAGCUGCUGCCUUUUGUAGAGGGACACAGCUGGCCAACUUGGGGUCAGUGUAGCAGUGCAGGGGUUUGGGGAGUAAAUGCUCUGACUAACCUCUCCACCCCUCCCAAGUUCCUGCUGGUGUUCGCUAUUGACUGAACCAACAGAAGUGAGAAGACAAAGACUCAAGUAGACCAAGUCCCUAAAGGUCCAUUCUAGAGGGCACAGACCGGUGAAUCCCGUAAGCCAAACACAAGCUAUCUAGCUCCACAAAUAAUGACACAUUUUUCAAAGUGCCAAGAAUGAAAAAUGUUUUGAUCUAAAAAUAUCCCAUGCAUACACCUAUACAUAAAUACAUCCAUGUGUUAGUUUAGGUAAAUAGUGGUGUAAAUAUUGA